rnacentral:lncRNA from 10 species
GCUGGUCUCUUGGCAUGAGGAGCCUAGUGACCGGGCAUGAGGAGCCUAGUGACCGGGCAGCAGCCAUAGCUUUGUUUACUGAAACUACCAUACCUCCUCCUGGUGGAAGCAUUGUCCCUUUGGAAACUAGGACUUCCAGAGCCACAGAAGCCAAAGUUGCAGAGAAAGGAUGCGCAUAUUCCUCCAGGAGGUCACUGGAGUGAUGGCCCACCUUCCUUACUGCAUGGAUCACUACAAUCACCUCCUGAUAUGGUUUGGCUGUGACCCCACGCAAAUCUCAUCUUGAAUUGUAGCUCCCAUAAUUCCCACAUGACGUGGGAGAGACCCAGUGGGAGGUAAAUGAAUCAUGGGGGUGGGUCUUUCCUGUGCUGUUCUCGUGAUAAUUAAUAAGUCUCACGAGAUCUGAUGGUUUUAUAAAGGGGAGUUCCCUUGCAUAUGCUGUCUUGCCUGCCGCCAUGUAAGGCGUGACCUUGCUCCUCAUUUGCCUUCUGCCAUGAUUGUGAGGCCUCCUCAGUCAUGUGGAACCGUGAGUCAAUUGAACCUCUUUCCUUUAUAAAUUACCCAGUCUCGGGUAUGUCUUUAUUAGCAGUGUGAGAACAGACUAAUACAUCUCCUAACUGGGUUGCCUGCCUAAUGUCUGGUUCCUUUGCAAUCUACCCUUUACAUUACUACAGAACCACUUUUCUAAAAUAAAAAUCUGAUUGUGCUUGUCCCCUGCUUGGUCAUUCAGUAGUUGUCUAGUGCCUCAAGAUAAAGCCCAAACUCAGUAUGGUGGCAAUGCCAGGCCUUUGUGCCCUACCCCUGCUUGCCUCCACAGUCUCAUCUCCUGCUGUUCUUUACAUGUUCUCUCUGCUGCAGCCACCAGGGAAACUGGAAUAACUUAGAGUUCCCCAGACAGGACAUUCUUUCUCAUGUCCUCAAACCUCUGUUCAUGCUAUUGUGCGAUUUCCUUUGCUAGGAUAAUUCUUCACUUAAAUAUCUGGAAAAUUUGUUUUUCUCCAGAGUUAAGCUCAGAGUUGGCUUCUGUAUGCAAACUUCCUGGGAUCCCCAGGCUCAUUUUAACGUGCUCCAACAGCCCCCAGAUCAUGCCUUCAGAGCACUUAUCAUUGUGUUCUUGUGUUUGUCUGCCCUGUGAGUCCAGGAGCAAGAUGAGGAUGGGCCCAUGUAUUGUCUUUGUUUAAUGCAAUGCCUGACACAUAGUAGAUGUUCAGCAAAUAGCUGUUUAACAAGACUCCUUCUCUUGUCUUGAAAGGAGUUUAUAUCUACUGCUCAUUUCCUAGCCACCUGUAUUUUUUUCAUUCCCAGCCAUCUUUCAUAUCUAUCAUCCUACUGAAGUAGCUCUUGAGAAGGACAAAGAUGUGCUUAAUUUAGCCUUAUUUAAGUUAUCUUCAUCAACCUCUCUGCAGCAGUGAACACCCACUUCUCAGAAACUUCUCUUCCCUGGGCUCCUGAGCUGACGCUAUUUGAAUUCUCUUUCCUUUUGAUCUGCACUUUCACUGGUUGCCUUUCUUCUUCAUGCAUCUUACAACCACUAUGCCAAGCACUACAGCAAGCACAGGGGCAGGCAGGUGGUGAUAGGGUAUGUGCAGUGAUGUGCUGGUAAGCUAGCUC